GUGUCAGCAGCCGCGGUAAUACAGAGGUCUCAAGCGUUAAUCGGAAUCACUGGGCUUAAAGGGUGCGUAGGCGGAUCUGUAAGUGCUUUGUGAAAUCCCAUGGCUCAACCAUGGAAUUGCUUGGCAGACUGCAGGUCUUGAGGUCGGUAGGGGCUGCCGGAACUCUAGGUGGAGCGGUGAAAUGCGUAGAUAUCUAGAGGAACGCCGAAGGUGAAGACAGGCAGCUGGGCCGAUUCUGACGCUGAGGCACGAAAGCGUGGGGAGCAAACGGGAUUAGAUACCCGCGUAGUCC
rnacentral:rRNA from 1 species